UAGCAUCACAGCUGGUGGGUAAAGUCGCAGAGUUUCAUUGAUUAUCAAGCUCAAAAUCUUAAGGUCAUUCAAACUCUCUGCAACUGGAAGUUCAUUCCCCCGUCCACAGAUUCGAAACACUUCCUCUCGUGCCUUGUGUUGCCAUUCUUGAUGUGAUGCUAAAAGAACAAGUGCCCAAGUCAAAAGAUUGGCAGUAGUUUCCUUUCCUGCAAAGUAGAAAGUCUUGCACUCAUCGAUAAUCUCCUCUUC
rnacentral:misc_RNA from 1 species